rnacentral:rRNA from 1 species
CCUACGGGUGGCAGCAGUGAGGAAUAUUGGUCAAUGGGCGGAAGCCUGAACCAGCCAAGUAGCGUGCAGGAUGAAGGCCCUACGGGUUGUAAACUGCUUUUAUACGGGAAUAAAGCGCCUUACGUGUCGGGCUUUGUAUGUACCGUAUGAAUAAGGACCGGCUAAUUCCGUGCCAGCAGCCGCGGUAAUACGGAGGGUCCGGGCGUUAUCCGGAUUUAUUGGGUUUAAAGGGUGCGUAGGCGGCCUGUCAAGUGCGCGGUGAAAGUCGUGGGCUCAACCAGGGCAUUGCGGUGGAAAGUGGGUGGAUUGAGUAGGUUUGAGGCAUGCGGAAUGCGUGGUGUAGCGGUGAAAUGCUUAGAUAUCACGCAGAACCCCGAUUGAGAAGGCAGCCUGCCAAGCCAUGACUGACGCUGAUGCACGAAAGCGUGGGGAUCAAACAGGAUUAGAUACCCCAGUAGUC